UCUGUGACUCAUUAAAUCCAUGCAUGGCUUCCCAAGGCUUUCCCACGUCUGAACAGUGAUGGGCAGUAAAACAGCUGGACUGGCUUUAGCCACCAUUGAAUGUUGUCUAAUGGUGCAAGUCACUGCUCAGUCUCCCUGAUUACAUUAUGCAGAAAGAUCGCUUCAAAUGCAUCCUAUAUUUUUGGACACCUGGAAACAUCUAAAAUGGCGACACCUUUGAUCAUGUGAAAAGAUCUUGCAUCUUAUGUGUUACCCACAAAGCAGUCUCGAUAAUUACAAAGUGCUCAUCACAAGCAGGCGAGGACUGAAGAUUCCUUCCCUCGGGCCACGGUGGCUUUGGAAAUCCAGCUCAGCUCUCCUAACCUUGUACUUCAUCUCUUUUGACAUGUUCACGACCGGUAACCCAAUCCUGGAUGACAAACUGCCAGCCUUCAGCCAGCUGCCACUGCUCAUACCAAGCACGCCUGCCACAGUCCGAUGCGGUAACACUGAUUAAAAAUAGAUUUUCGUGCCCCCCAGGACAAAGCUAAA